rnacentral:rRNA from 1 species
GAUGAACGCUAGCUACAGGCUUAACACAUGCAAGUCGAGGGGUAACGAGAGGAAAGCUUGCUUUCCUUGUCGACGACCGGCGCACGGGUGAGUAACGCGUAUCCAACCUGCCCCCAACUAAGGAAUAACCUUGCGAAAGUAAGACUAAUACCUUAUAAUUUCCUCAGAUGACAUCUGACGAGGAAUAAAGAUUUAUCGGUUGUGGAUGGGGAUGCGUCUGAUUAGCUUGUUGGCGGGGUAACGGCCCACCAAGGCAACGAUCAGUAGGGGUUCUGAGAGGAAGGUCCCCCACAUUGGAACUGAGACACGGUCCAAACUCCUACGGGAGGCAGCAGUGAGGAAUAUUGGUCAAUGGGCGGAAGCCUGAACCAGCCAAGUAGCGUGCAGGAUGACGGCCCUAUGGGUUGUAAACUGCUUUUAUACAGGAAUAAAGUUAGCCACGUGUGGUUAUUUGUAGGUACUGUAUGAAUAAGGACCGGCUAAUUCCGUGCCAGCCGCCGCCGUAAGAC